UCCACAUUCUCACAUCCCCCCUCUAUCUUCUUCUCCUCCCCCCUUUUCCCAUCUCCCCUCUCUUCUCCUCCUCCCUCCUUUUCCCUUUCCUCCUCGCUCUGUUCUCUAAUCGGAUGGCCAUAUGGCGACCCGGAUCCCAUCGAACGACAUUUCUAAAGAUGAAGGCAAGCGACAGACUUGCGUACUGUGCAUCUCCCCAAUUUGCCACAUUGUCCAAUGACAACAUUACCAGCUCCAUCAACAUGUGGAGGAGGUUGCUAUAGUGACAUUUGAGGGGAAGCCUUAGUCCAAUAAUAGGUCAGGACAUUGAUGGUAUAUCAAUAAAGUUGGAUCUUGAUUGCAAUACUUGAAGAUUCUGAAGGGCAGGAGCUUGGUGCAGAAGUAUGUUUUGGACUAUUAGGCAUGUAAAAUGGGUGAAAAUUUUGUGGGAGCUCAUUUGGGCAUGCCUCUCUCCAAGACUGGUUGCACGUGAACCAUUUGCAAUGGUCGUCUUGAUCUUUAUUGCCCACUAAGUGGGCUACCUUCCUUUUUAUUGUAUUUGUAGUUUAUAGAUGUAAAAGUGCUCUGAUGAAAAUGUUGGACGGAUUUUUUAAGAGAUUCAACUGAUCAAUUAGUCAUACUGCUCUUUCUUUUA